rnacentral:rRNA from 1 species
AACGAACGCUGGCGGCAUGCCUAACACAUGCAAGUCGAACGAGACCUUCGGGUCUUGUGGCGCACGGGUGCGUAACGCGUGGGAAGCUGCACUUAGGUUCGGAAUAACUCCCUGUGAGGGGUGCUAAUAACGGAUAAUGUCUUCGGACCAAGGAUUUAUGGCUUUUGGGUGGGCCCGCGUUGGAUUAGCUAGUUGGUAGGGUAAAAGCCUACCAAGGCGACGAUGCAUGGCUGGUCUGAGAGGAUGAUACGCCACACUUGGGCUGAGGCACGGCCCAGCCUCCGACGCGAGGGAGCAGUAGGGUAUAUUGUACAAUGGGCGAAAGUCUGAUCCAGCAAUGCCGGGGAAGUGAUGAAGGGCUUAGGGUUGUAAAGCUCUUUUACCCGAGACGAUAAUGACAGUACCGGGAGAAUAAGCUCCGGCUAACUCCGUG